GGAGCGCGCCGCUUGGAGGAGUCGUUAGGUUUCCUAGGAAACUUAACCGCCAACAUUUGCCGCCCAACAGCAUCGACUGAAGGAGGAGAACGCUCUCUGCAUCAGACGUAGUUUUUAAUUAGCUAACCGAAGCCGAUGACACUGAACGUAUGCGGGAUGUUGAGAUAAGGCGUGUUGUACCUGAAUUAAGCCGGCCGCUGGAUUCCUGCGCUUCUCGAAAUGUUUCUGCCGAUGCUGUUCCUGAACUUUCAAGGCAAAUCCAGAACCCAGAAUUCCCUGCGGAGCAUGAAAACAACUUUGUUAAUGAUGACCGGACCUAGUUCUUCCAGAAACUGAGCCGCGUCGUCUAUAAUACCGCACUAUAAUGGAGUGUCGUGACAUUAAAGGGGUCAUUUCUUCUGAUAAAGUGCUCUUUUAUUAGGUUCUUUCUUUCUUUCCCUGAGCUCUAGUUAUAAUGUUAAGCAAGGUUUUUGCAGCAAAAACGGUCAAAUCAUCCCACCUCCUCUUUGAAUAUUUAUCUGGUAUUUGAGUUUCUGAUGUCAAAUAUCCAAGUUUUUCAUCUUAGUUUCAACAGAAGAUCUUUUUGGACUGAGGAGGAUCAUACAACCCUAACACUUUUAUAUAUAUCGUGCAUUAUAAGUGUAUUUUUACUUUCUUUGUAAUGCACUGUAUGAUCUCAUGAAUAACUGUAAUAAAUUUUAUAAUACUUAUCUA